rnacentral:rRNA from 1 species
UACGGGAGGCAGCAGUGGGGAAUAUUGCACAAUGGGCGCAAGCCUGAUGCAGCCAUGCCGCGUGUAUGAAGAAGGCCUUCGGGUUGUAAAGUACUUUCAGCGGGGAGGAAGGGAGUAAAGUUAAUACCUUUGCUCAUUGACGUUACCCGCAGAAGAAGCACCGGCUAACUCCGUGCCAGCAGCCGCGGUAAUACGGAGGGUGCAAGCGUUAAUCGGAAUUACUGGGCGUAAAGCGCACGCAGGCGGUUUGUUAGUCAGAUGUGAAAUCCCCGGGCUCAACCUGGGAACUGCAUCUGAUACUGGCAAGCUUGAGUCUCGUAGAGGGGGUAGAAUUCCAGGUGUAGCGGUGAAAUGCGUAGAGAUCUGGAGGAAUACCGGUGGCGAAGGCGGCCCCUGGGACGAAGACUGACGCUCAGGUGCGAAAGCGUGGGGAGCAAACAGGGAUAGAUACC